rnacentral:lncRNA from 1 species
CACCCCCGCAACAAUGGCGAAUGGAAGAAUGGAAGGGAAGAAGACAGAGACACACCAGGACACCAGGGAUGCACACACUCAGAGAAGAGGCCAGGUGAGGGCACAAUGAGACGGUCAUCUGCAAGCCAAGGUAAGAUCCCUCAAGAAACACCAAAUUUGCUGGCAUCUUGAUCUUGGACUUCCACCUUCUGAAACCGUAAGAAAAUAGAUUUCUGUUGUUUAAGGCACCCAGUCUGUGGUAUUUUUAAUGGCAGGCCGAGCUGAUUUACAUGCACUCGUGGUAAGGGGCAGAGGAAACUCUAAGUCAUUUAUUAAUAAUUCAAAACUUUGUUCCUCAGUACUAGUAAAUAUUUUGCAAUCACUGAAGCACUUGUCAAAUGUAUAUUUUCUCCUCAUAUUAACUAGCAAAAUUAGCCUCACAUAAACUCAUCCACAAGUUUGUUAGUAGUUUGCCCCAAAUGCACACCUAUAAAAGUGGCAAGGCCCAGAUUUGAACCUGGGAAAACAGGUUUUUAACUAUUUCAUUGCAACUACCUCCGACAUCAGUGUACCUAAUUUAUAUUUUUC